UACGGAGGAUCCAAGCGUUAUCCGGAAUCAUUGGGUUUAAAGGGUCCGUAGGCGGUUUGGUAGUCAGUGGUGAAAGCCCAUCGCUCCAACGGUGGAACGGCCGAUUGAUACUGGCCAGACUGAAUUAUUAGGAAGUAACUAGAAUGAUGUAGUGUAGCGGUGAAAUGCUUAGAGAUUACAUGGAAUACCAAUUGCGAAGGACUAGGUUGAACUACCGUUAAUGGAUU
rnacentral:rRNA from 1 species